GAAUAGGUAAACCGGAGUAUGUUCACCAUAUCUAUACAAUGGAAUACUCUUCAGAAAUAGGAAAAAACAAACUAUUAAUAUAUACAACAACAUGAAUGAAUGUCAAAAUAAUUGUCCUGAGUCAAAGAAGCCAGACCAAAAACUAACCCCCUCCCAAAUGCAGUACAUCUGCAUGACUCCAUUUGUAUAAAAUUCUAGAAAAUACAAAUCAAUCUGUAGUGACAGAAAGCAAUCCGUGGUUACCUUUGACUGGAGGUGUGGGGAAGGAUGAACACAAGAAAACUUUGGGGAAUUAUGAGAACAUUUGAUAUCUUGAUCAUGGUGAUGGUUUCAUGGGUGUGUGUACGUGUCAAAGCUUUAAAUGUGUGAGUUUACAUAAAUUGUACCUCAAUAUAAGUUGUCAAAGAAGGGAAAAAUAAAGAAAGGAAACAGGGAAGGAGGAAGAACUGACACACAGUAAUACGGAUGAAUUUCACAAAACAUCGUGCUGAGGGAGAGAAGCUGGACAUAAAAUAACACAUACUGUACGACUCCGUUUAUAUACAAUUCUAGAAAAAGCAAACUAAUCUCUAGUGACAGAAAGCAGGUUGGCAGUUGCCUGGGGUUGGGGGUGGAGGACAGAAUAGACUGAAAAAGGGCAAGAGGAAAUUUUGGGUGUGAUCAAUGUUCUGUAUCUUGAUUGUAAUGGUGGUUUGACAUGAAUAUACAUCUAUCAAAGCUCAUUGAGUUUUACACUUUACAAAUGGAUUGAUCUAUUGAAGUAAAUUAUACCUACCUAAAUAAAGUGAGUUUUAAAAGGCCUUUGUUUAACUCUUGCUGCCAGGGAUCAUUCAAGCUGAGAAUAAUGUACCACAUAUGGGCCCAAGAGUUGUCUUUGCUUGGGGAAAAAUAUUUAAAUGAGCCUCUCAGCUGUGAAGAGUAAAUCCCAAAUCCUAUUCCUGAAUGAAGAUUUUUGGGACAACAGGGAACUCGCCUGCUGUGUAAUCUAAAAAUUUUUGUUUUCACUAAGGUUAGAGUGAAAACUCUGGGUAAUAUUCACGAGGUGUUAUUGGCUUCAUUCCUCUGCCUGGGGCCAAAUGCAGUGGGGUGGGGGUCCUGGAUUUUAAAGAGGGAGGACUGGAUUAAAAAGACCUUCAUCCAAGUGAUAAAGCUGGUCCCGGAAACAUGGUGAGAGGUCAGGGGCUGAGGAAUAAGAGGUGAGUAGAGGACCUGCGAGGGGGGACCUGGCCCAUGAACCACCACGAGUCAAGAGAUCAAGUCAUCUGUUUUAAGGUAUUCUCUUUCUGCACUGUAUUUUCCCCUCCUUGAUCUGUCACACACAAACUCUCAGUAAAGUUAGAUUAAAGGUUACAAUUUGAUAUUCACUGCCUCUGAGGACAUUAAUGGGGGGUCAUGUCCAGGUACAGUGAUAUGUGGGGAACCAGGGAAGCUUGGAGACAUGAAUACAAAGUUGCUAGAAGUGACCGUCAGAGAGGCCCAGAGUGGUGGUCCACAGUGAAAGGUGAUAAAAGCUCAGCAACAAACAGUCUGGAGAAACACAUGAGGACUCCUCAGGGAUUCUCAGAACUAUAGCUGGAGGAAACUGUGGAUUUCCUGCACUCCAGCGGAGUGAGGAGAGCACAGACUAUAUUACUGAGUGUUUAAAGGAACGGUGACCUCCUAAAAGGUGGUAGCUUGGGGAUGUUUGGAAUAUAAAGAGAUUAACUAACACCCCCCUCUGCUCCCCAGUCUCCCAAGGAUGUUUGGACUGUCCUGAGUUAUUUUGGACUAUGAGACAAAAAUAAUCCAUAACUCCUGGUUCGCCUCUUCUAUCUCAAAAGCUCGGAGGGGACCUACGCUAUAUGACCAAACCCUAACUAGUAGUUGCCUUUGUCUGGUUUGACGUCAGUUAAUUACUGGACUCUGAACCUGAGAGAGAGUUAAAAAGAAAGAUAGCUGGAGGGAAACCAUUUUCUCCCUGGAUUACCUAGCAAGAACAGAUAAAAUGAAAGCCUUCACUCACCUCAGUCUUCUUGCCCUCCUUUUUCUAAUGUCAGCCGAGAACCAAACUGCUUCAAACUCAGCUGCCUCUAAUACAAUAAGCAAUUACUAAAGCUACAGUGACUUGAGGUUCAAUGUUCACAUUCAGCAAGUUUAAAUCCACUCUUAUGUGAUUUUUGAAACCUUAUUUAUUACCUGAAAAUAUUGCUUGCUGAUAAAACUUGCUCAAAUGCUAUCGCUGAAUGUACAAGUCACCGAUUAUGCCAAUACAACAAAGAUAACCACAUGUUUGAGGACUGCAAUGAGCCGGACAUUCACUGAAAAAAAAA